rnacentral:rRNA from 1 species
AAACCAGCACCUCAAGUGGUCAGGAUGAUUAUUGGGCCUAAAGCAUCCGUAGCCGGCUCUGUAAGUUUUCGGUUAAAUCUGUAUGCUCAACAUACGGGCUGCCGGGAAUACUGCAGAGCUAGGGAGUGGGAGAGGUAGACGGUACUCGGGAGGAAGUGGUAAAAUGCUUUGAUCUCUCGAUGACCACCUGUGGCGAAGGCGGUCUACCAGAACACGUCCGACGGUGAGGGAUGAAAGCUGGGGGAGCAAACCGGAUUAGAAACCCGGGUAGUCC